CCUACGGGAGGCAGCAGGGGGGAAUAUGGCACAAUGGGGGAAACCCUGAUGCAGCGACGCCGCGUGAGUGAAGAAGGAAGGCGGGAUGGAAAGCUCUAUCAGCAGGGAAGAAAAUGACGGUACCGGAGUAAGAAGCCCCGGCUAACGACGUGCCAGCAGACGCGGUAAUACGGAGGGGGCACGCGUUAUCCGGAUUUACUGGGUGGAAAGGGAGCGUAGCCGGCAGUGCAAGUCUGGCGGGAAAGGCGGGGGCUCAACCCCCGGACUGCUCUGGAAACGGUACGGCUGGAGUGCAGGCGAGGUACGUUGCCUUCCUCGUGUAGCUGUGACCUGCGUAGAUCUUCGGCGGAACCCCUGUGGCGAAGGCGGCUUACUGGACUGUAACUUCCGUUGAGGCUCGACCGCGUGGGGAGCACACAGGAUUAGAUACCCGUGUCGUC
rnacentral:rRNA from 1 species